rnacentral:tRNA from 1 species
UGUUUUGUGGCGAAGUUGGUUAGCGCACUCAGUCAACUCAACUUGUGGAGACGUGGGUUCAAACCCCACCAUAACAA